rnacentral:rRNA from 1 species
AUUGAACGCUGGCGGUAGGCCUAACACGUGCAAGUCGAACGAGUGGCGGACGGGUGAGUAAUGUCUGGGAAACUACCUGAUGGAGGGGGAUAACUACUGGAAACGGUAGCUAAUACCGCAUACCAUCGGAUGUUCCCAGAUGGGAUUAGCUUGUUGGUGGGGUAACGGCUCACCAAGGCGACGAUCCCUAGCUGGUCUGAGCGGAUGACCAGCCAAACUGGAACUUGGACCCGGUCCAGACUCCUACGGGAGGCAGCAGUGGGGAAUAUUGCACAAUGGGGGCAAGCCUGAUGCAGCCAUGCCGCGUGUAUGAAGAAGGCCUUCGGGUUGUAAAGUACUUUCAGCGGGGAGGCGUUACCCGCAGAAGAAGCACCGGCUAACUCCGUGCCAGCAGCCGCGGUAAUAC